rnacentral:rRNA from 1 species
UACGUAGGUGGCUAGCGUUGUUCGGAUUUAUUGGGCUUAAAGCGCGCGUAGGCGGUCCAUUAAGUCAGUUGUGAAAUACGGCAGCUUAACUCUCGAGGUGCAAUUGAUACUGGAGGACUUGAGUACAGACGAGGUAGGCGGAAUUGACGGUGUAGCGGUGAAAUGCAUAGAUAUCGUCAAGAACACCGAUAGCGAAGGCAGCUUACUAGACUGUAACUGACGCUGAGGCGCGAAAGUGUGGGGAUCAAACAGG